rnacentral:rRNA from 1 species
AUUGAACGCUGGCGGCAGGCCUAACACAUGCAAGUCGAACGAGUGGCGGACGGGUGAGUCAUGUCUGGGAAACUGCCUGCUGGAGGGGGAUAACUACUGGAAACGGUAGCUAAUACCGCAUACCAUCGGAUGUGCCCAGAUGGGAUUAGCUAUUAGUUGGGGUAAAGGCUCCCCUAGGCGACGAUCCCUAGCUGGUCUGAGAGGAGGACCGGCCAAACGGGAACUGAGACACGGUCAAGCCUCCAACGGGAGGCAGCAGUGGGGAAUAUUGCACAAUGGGCGCAAGCCUGAUGCAGCCAUGCCGCGUGUAUGAAGAAGGCCUUCGGGUUGUAAAGUACUUUCAGCGGGGAGGCGUUACCCGCAGAAGAAGCACCGGCUAACUCCGUGCCAGCAGCCGCGGUAAUUC